rnacentral:rRNA from 1 species
ACAUGCAGUCGAGCGGUAGAGGGGAGCUUGCUUCCCUUGAGAGCGGCGGACGGGUGAGUAAUGCCUAGGAAUCUGCCUAGUGGUGGGGGAUAACGUUCGGAAACGGACGCUAAUACCGCAUACGUCCUACGGGAGAAAGCGGGGGACCUUCGGGCCUCGCGCCAUUAGAUGAGCCUAGGUCGGAUUAGCUAGUUGGUGAGGUAACGGCUCACCAAGGCGACGAUCCGUAACUGGUCUGAGAGGAUGAUCAGUCACACUGGAACUGAGACACGGUCCAGACUCCUACGGGAGGCAGCAGUGGGGAAUAUUGGACAAUGGGCGAAAGCCUGAUCCAGCCAUGCCGCGUGUGUGAAGAAGGUCUUCGGAUUGUAAAGCACUUUAAGUUGGGAGGAAGGGUAGUAACUUAAUACGUUGCUACUUUGACGUUACCGACAGAAUAAGCACCGGCUAACUCUGUGCCAGCAGCCGCGGUAAUACAGAGGGUGCAAGCGUUAAUCGGAAUUACUGGGCGUAAAGCGCGCGUAGGUGGUUUGUUAAGUUGGAUGUGAAAGCCCCGGGCUCAACCUGGGAACUGCAUCCAAAACUGGCAAGCUAGAGUACGGUAGAGGGUGGUGGAAUUUCCUGUGUAGCGGUGAAAUGCGUAGAUAUAGGAAGGAACACCAGUGGCGAAGGCGACCACCUGGACUGAUACUGACACUGAGGUGCGAAAGCGUGGGGAGCAACAGGAUUGAUACCUGGUAGUCACGCCGUAACGAUGUCACUAGCCGUUGGAGUCUUGACUCUA